UACGGGGGGGGCAAGCGUUGUUCGGAAUUACUGGGCGUAAAGCGCGCGUAGGCGGCUUUUCAAGUCAGACGUGAAAGCCCCAGGCUUAACCUGGGAAUUGCGUUUGAUACUGUGUAGCUAGAGUACUGUAGAGGAAAGUGGAAUUUCCGGUGUAGCGGUGAAAUGCGUAGAUAUCGGAAGGAACAUCAGUGGCGAAAGCGACUUCCUGGACCAAUACUGACGCUCAUGUGCGAAAGCGUGGGGAGCAAACAGG
rnacentral:rRNA from 1 species